AAGUCGUAACAAGGUCUCCGUUGGUGAACCAGCGGAGGGAUCAUUACCGAGUUAUACUCCAAACCCACUGUGAACCUUACCAAUUACUGCUGUUGCCUCGGCGGACGGCGAGAGGGCCCCCCUGACGGGGGCGCCCGAUUGCCCCCGCCGGCAGCACCAAACUCUUGAAUUUAUAGCGAAUCUUACUUCUGAAUAACAAAAACAAACAAAUCAAAACUUUCAACAACGGAUCUCUUGGUUCUG
rnacentral:misc_RNA from 1 species